GUGGCCUAGCAGUUAGAGUGUCCACCUCGGAUGCGGGAGGUCGUGGGUUUGAUCCCCAGGCGAGUCA